GUGCGUGGCGGUGUGCGCGGAACGGGCUCCGUGCGGGGGGGGACCGCGCAAAUCCCGUCAGAGCGCGGGCGCCGGCAGCGCGCAGUAGCCCGUCAGAGCCGCUCUGGGAACUGAGCGAGUCUGAAAAGUGCGAGGGGCUGAGAUGUAGAAGUAGCGCCGGGAUGCUGUGUGCCGCUCUGUGGGAGCUGUGAGGCAGUGCUCGGUGAAGUGAUUCCUUUUCCUCGCUGCUCGUGGCAGGUUGAGAGGGAAACCGAAGCCCCCGCCAACGGGAGCACCCGAAGCUCCGCUCGCUCCCGUUCUACGCGCCCACCUCAGCGCUGCACCGAACCAAGGCGAGGGCGCCGCGGGCAGUGCCUGGCCCGCUCCUGGGCCCGGUGGCCACAUAAUGCCUCCCCUGUUCCUCACAGUGGUCGUCCGUAAAGUUAAAAAUAGCGACUGGAAACGGUGUUGAAAAUCACUUGAAAGCAGCACAUGCUCAGAGUAUGGCUCCACCAAAUUUGCUUGGUUUAUGACGGUGCUAUUUUUAAAACGCGCCUCUCUGCUGUGUGAAAACAACUGCACAGAGACGUCUUCCCAACCGAAUGCGACCAGUUUCAGUUUACUCAGUUUUCAGCUGAGAGCAAACAGCCCCGCGGUGGUUCCUUACCUGGCAGCCCCGUGCUGAGCGCGUGUUGCUGAGUUGCGUCCCCACCCCGGCACCUUGGCACGGCACAGGAACUGCCCCUGCAUUCAGAGAUUGGAGUCCCCCAGGAGUCAGGACCGGGAGAAGCUCACCGUGACACGACCGGCAGCAGCCCCGCGGCUCCCCCUAGAAGCUUGUUUCAGUUUCUUGUUGAGCAGAAAUCAGAUUGCAGGGCUUCCGAGCAUAGAAAAUGCCUCAAGAGCGGCGUGGUGACAGGAUCAGGCAAUCACAGGAGCGCAGCCGUUCUUCAAAAAGCGUGUCACUGUGUCACGGCAGCAAGAGGGAACGCGCGUGGCAGCCUGGUUCAAUGGUGCAUUCCAAGAGAAAAGAAAACGCUCACAUCCCCCAUACGUACCUCCUUCUGAAGGAACAGAGCCAGGUUCUCUCGCCCUUUUGGGCAGACCUUCGGCCAGGCCUGUGGAAGAAACGGCUCGCUGCGGGUCGUGCCCAUGGGAAGGGUCCCCAGGCCUUUCUCGGUGCCAGAAGAAAGAGCUGUGGGCACCACCUUGACAAAGCAGGUGGAAACGAGGAGGUCACCAACAGUAAGACUUGGAGAGUUGGGGAAAGCGCUCAAAGGUGUGAGUCAGCCCUCACGAGGCAGGCGUUAACGCACAUGUGCGCUACUGCAGCAAAAGGCACAGACGAAAUACAUCGCUGCAUUGCUGCUAUGGAGGGAAAGUUUAGAAACUGACUCAUCCAUCGGCCUGUCCCCAAAGAGAAAGCCAUAACGCCCCCGGUUGCCAACACGCAACGUGAAGCGCCGUAGGAGAGCAAAGAGACGGCGAGGUGGAAGUCUCGGUGAUUAACCUUAUUGGUAAGAGCUCAUUAAAGUAUCCAGGAGAUGACAGGGAUGAAAAUUCCCUUGUAGUCACCCAGCCCUUUGUGUGCUGGCGAGCUGGGUAAUCCACAUGAUGCAGGCAGCCAUUUGGCUAGCAGAUUAGAAAGAAUUUGCAUUAAUGGCUGAGAAUUUCGACAGCAGUUGCCGAAAGGGGAUGUGCACUGACAGAGCCUGAACGCAAUGCUGCAUUCACCUCGCUAGGUAAGGCUUCGAGGUGGGGACACGGUGUGCACAGCCCAACGAGUCACUGGCUGGGACAGGCAUCGUGACGCAGAGAUAAGGUAAUGUGCUCUGCAAGAAGGGAGGUGCUGAGAUUACGAGGCAGAAUUUACAUGUGUUCUAAAACACCACUCUCACAAAAUGCAAAUGAUUCUUCGUCACAUGGAAAUACCAAGGAAGGUUAUUUAUCUGGAGGACUUUGAAGAACCAGCAUCUGUUUUACAAGGCAGCUAUAGUGAAAUGAAGAUCUUAAGCCCAGACCUGGUUGUUCAGAAGGCAGGAUGAUAUCUGACAGUGCCAAGUCCCCAGAUGUGACUCCUUCCUAAAAACUGUUGAUGAAGGAACCUGCGGUUCCCAAGGAAGUUCUGUACUGAUGUAUCCAACUCCUGGCGCCUUCUUAUUCCACAGCCUUUUACUUUUCUCUCUACGAAACUGCAAUGGGAGCUGGAGCUCCCAGACCAGGAGCCCUGUGCCCCCCAGGCAGCCCCUGCACCGUGUUUGGGGUGCAGCCUAAAGCACUGCAUUUUGUCCUGCAGUGGGGGAGAAGCAUCUCCUCAAUUGCACAACCCCUAGACACACUCACGCUUCAUUCCUCUCUGGGUAUUACUGCAGAGAAGUGGAGAAGAAGUAAAAAAAGUGGUUUCUCUUUCUUUCACAACUGAAAGUUUUACUCAAAGCUUCUCAGAAAUUGGGCAGCAAUGGAAGAACAGGAGGCUGAGGGGGCUAAGGGCACAGAUGAUAAUGAUGUACCAUACGCUAAAGGAAAACAAAAUCCCUUUCUCUAGAAGAAAUUGCUCACCGAUGUACCGCAGGCUGACAUGCUGCACGCACCCAGACCUCGGUUAGUGGCAGGAAGUGGCAGGCUCAUACCAGAGCAAACUGUGAGCAUCUCAGGGCAUCAGGAGCGUGGUGCUGCACGGAGCCACCCUGUGGCACCAGCAAGCUAAGGGAGCAAGGGCCGUCAGGGGACAGACACGGUGGUGGCUUUUUGCUCAUGUUGAAAGCCAGGCAGGCAGGAGUGGGACGGGCUGGCACCGGCCCAGCAGCCACAGCUACAUGGGGAGAUCAUCAGCUGGGGAACGGGCACUAUGUGCCACUCACCCCUGGACAUGAGCCUCACACCAGGAGUCCUGCAACAGCAAGCCGCAUCACUCUCACAAUUCGCUCUGCUCUCUGUGACUUUUCUGGCAUAGCAACAACAUCAGCUGGGAUGCAGCAUCUCAUGUGCUCCAACUACAGAGGUGAUAAUCCUGCUCUCCUUCUCCAAUAGGCUUAAUGUUGUCAGAAGCAAGAUUUCCUCUUUGCUUUCCAUGUGAACUCUAAGGUCUAACACAUCAGUCACCUCGGCUCGCUGUCUCUGACCACCUCUGGAGGCAGGAGGGGAUUCCACGGGAGCUGCUCUCCCAAGCCAUGUGCUCAUGGGCCGUGCCACUCUGCCAUCACGGCCAGCUCUGUUCUCAGCGUGGUAAAGGCUCCCACUUCCAUCUCUGCUGGCUCAGAACACACCUCGUCUUAUAUGGUCCAGUCCGCUCCCUGCUCACUAACCUUCCAGAAAGAAGACGGCGAGGAUCUGGGGAGACCAUCUGGUCACAGCAGCCACACAGAGAUAGGAUCAGUGGUCAGACAAUCCUCAGCAGACGUUUGUGUAACCCGUUCCUGGAAGCCUUCAAGGAAGGAGAUACCCCAACUUCCCAAGCUGCUUCUUCAGGCAUUUCACUGGGCCAAUCUAAAAGUUACUGUUGCAUCCCCUCCCACUCUCCUAACAUUCCACCUAAACCAUCCUCCCAUCCCUCCCAUACCCAAUCUGAAGUAUUUUCCCUCUAUACAGAUUAGUUUAACUCAACUUUCCCCCGGCACUCAAAGACCUCUUCUUGCCUUUUGCACACUGGGAGAAUUUAUCCAAAUCCCUCUAACACUCGGCAUACUUAUUUCCUUCACCACGUACUUUUAUUCUCUACAACACUUACUUCUUUUUGCCCUGAACUGUACGUAGUUCUCAUGAGAGAAGACUAAACCAAAGGCAGUGCUACAGCUGAGGCCUCGCCAGCACUUGUGGAGUCAUCCCUACAUCUCACUCUGUGACUUACAUAUGCCACCUAUUGAUAAAUCCUAAGAGAGCAUUGGAUUUUGCAAAAGCAAAAUUGUUGUCAGUUGCUGUUUAGUUAGUGAUUCUCUGCGCACGCACGUAACCAUCCAGCUUGCUUUCUGCAAGAAAUUGAUGAUUGUUUUAAUGGAAUUUCACUUUUCCGCUGUUCAUUUUGAUUUCUGAGCUGAACGUCCACAGCAGUCACCAUCCGCCCAGCUUGGUGACAUUUCAUAAACACGCUCUGCGUUACAGCAGUCCAUAUUAUUCUUUGUGUUUUCUCACACUGCACUUAUCACAGUAGUAUGGCAGUGCCUUACAGCAGAGCAAUCCGUGACAUCUCUUCUGUCUCCUUCCCUCCCUAUCUUGUCCCUUCCCUCUCGAGAAGGGUGGGCAUGGAAAUACUGUUUCAGAAAGUUAUCAGACAGAUGUAAAAGCACCGUUCGUACACUUGUAAGGAGGAGACAAAAUAAAUUGUUCCACCCCUUGUUUCAGACUCGUCCCUGAGAAUAGCGUCUCAUACGCAGUUAUGUUUGAAGUUUAUCACAGUUCUGCUGCGAGGGGGUAGCAAAGUUGUCAGCUGUGAUCUCCACUCCACUGGCACAGGAUGGGCUCAAACUGAAUAUGAAUCAGCAUCAUACGGAGGACAGGGAUAACAUGCACACACCACAGCCCGCAUCAGUUACAGUGGGCACUGGGAUGUCCAAGCUGUGAGAUAAAUUCGGCAAAUAUAUGAGGACUGAAGCUUACUUUUUCAUACCUUCUUACAGCCUGGCCAUGUGCAUGUCCCUUGCACAGCACUUUGUUGAAAGAAAAAGAAACUACCUGGCUUUGAUCAUCAAGGGACAUAAAACUAUGCACUGCUCAUUGUACUUUGCAAAUAUUAAAACUUAAAGCUGAAUUUAAUAAAAUACACUCUGAUAAUACCUCAUAGCUGAAAUGUUGCAUUGGAUUUCAUGAGAUGCACUUGUCAUUCUAGCUGACAUUACCUGAAAGUAGAGGUGUUUUGCACCUGUAAGCACUAACCAUAAAGAAAUAAAUCCAGAGUCACAGGUCAGCAUGUAAAGCACUGUACCCUUCCAAUGUCUCACUUUGCGUCCCUCCAUUCUGCUUCUUUUCUGUUUCUGUCGUGAAUCCAAAACUUGUUCUGUGUUUAAACACCUCAGCUCUGCAGCACUGAGAGAACUCCCCUGGAAACCAGCCAGAAAUUCACCUUUUACAUGUGUGCUUGUUUAUACUUUGUGUAUUACCAGAAACUUACACAAUCAUCAUACUGCUUGUGGGUUCUCAGCAGAUGGACAGAAACUGCUGAAAUGCUAAGGCAACCAGACCUCAUGUCUUCAUCCUGUGGUUGCAGAAGAAGGAGGAGAUGUGCAUUGCAUGGGUAAUGCCACAGGUCACAUUUGGUGAGCUGCGCAGUAUCACUGCACCGGAUGACACAACUUGUAAGCGACGGACCAAUUGCUUUCUCUCUUAAAAAUUACAAGCCAGAAUAUGCUGUAUAUUUAGCACUGAGAGCACGGAAGACACCAUUACUUCUGAGCAGGCAGGAUUUUACUUGAAGUUCUCAUACAACUUAUUAGAAAAGUAGUGGCUGGAAGAUAGAGGCAACAAGAUACAACAUCAGCACUACUAAUCGUUGUUACAUCUUUAGCGUAGGAAGUUACCAGCAGAAAUUCUGAGCCAGGACACUGCACAUCCUCUCCGUUUUUGGUUUUUUUUUUUUGUAUUUGAUACAUAAUCUACCACUCUCUACUUCCACCAUGAGGUCUGUAGGAAAACAAAUGUUUACAAGGAAGAUAAAAAGUUCAAACAAGAUGCCAUCUGUAUUCGCACCAACUUCCUAGAAACCAGCUUUAAUGACACAGAGAAGCUGCUAGAGAUAGGCUUAAUUUUUUGUUACAUUUGUUUUGUACGUUCAAGAUCAUUUGAUGUGCUGUGUUAUAUACAAGAAAAUUCCCUGCAACACCUGUAUGUUAGUGAGCUUGGAGAAGAGAAAUCUCUGGGGAGAUCUCUUUGAGGUCUUCCAGUACUUGAAGGGAGCAUAUAAACAGGAGAGGGAACGGCUGUUUACAAGGGUGGACAGUGAUAGGACAAGGGGGAACAGUUUUAAACUGAGACAGGGGAUGUUUAGGUCAGAUAUUAGGAGGAAGUUUUUCACACAGAGGGUGGUGACACACUGGAACAGGUUGCCCAAGGAGGCUGUGGAUGCCCCAUCCCUGGAGGCAUUCAAGGCCAGGCUGGAUGUGGCUCUGGACAGCCUGGUCUGGUGGUUGGUGACCCUGCACAUAGCAGGGGGGUUGAAACUUGAUGAUCAUUGUGGUCUUUUUCAACCCAGGCCGUUCUGUCAUUCAUUCUAUGAGCUCAGGUAAAGGCAAAUGUGGUAUCCCAGCCAGGUGGCCAUGGCUUUCUCACACUUGCAGCUCGGUCUCAGUUCUUGGGGCUGCAAUGAAUGGGGAUUGCAGCAGAGCAGAGGGAGGAGCAGAAGGCCUGCUUCCACCUGGAGCUGCUGUUCAUAAGCCUCCUGCUAUCAGACAGGCAAUCCCAGUGCUUACAGGGAUCGCCCAUGAGAGGCUUCCUGAUGAAGGCACAAAUACAUAGCUUAUUCUUGAUCUUGAGAAAGGAAGAAAAAAAAAAGGGGGGGGGGGGGGGGAGCCUUCAGAGAAAUAAAGAAAGGAAUCAUAAUUAUUACAAAAUGCUUGAAAGGAUUUUUCUUUUACAAGUCUUUACAGGGGUUUAAGGCCAGCAGGCUGCAGAUUUCCCAGAGCAAGGAGAAGCAGUUAGAACAAGAAAAGGAUCAGUGUAGGUGGGCCUUGGGUCACUGUCAGGCAGAAAACAGUUACACUCAGAAUUUCUCCAGCACCAAAGACAGCCACACGUCAAAUGCUUUAUACUGCCCUAGGUCUUCUUUUUUAUUACUUUUUCAUGCAAAGGCACAACGGCAUCAUAAAAGUUACCAUCAAAGGCAGUAAGUCCUUAAACUUUCAUACCAAGCCUUAGAAACAAUUCUUUGAAACACACAGACCUCCAGUACACAAGGAAAAAGAAAAAAAAAAAAGUAGUGUAAAACUUACAGGCAGUAAGUAUUUAUUUUAAAUCCUUGCUGUUAUCUCUCCAAGUCGAAAUGCCAUAAAACUCCAAGAGCUGAAACUUCUGUGAGGAUUCAAAACGUAUCCCUUACCUCAUACGUUUUACUACACAUUCUUACCUCUUUUAAAAACGAAAUCCCAGAUUCUGUGCUCAGCAGAAGCGAGGCGAUUGCUUCACCAGGAUCAGAUAUGGCAAAGCAAAACAAACAAGUGAACCUGGGGCUGAGCGCUGUCCGCAUCGGUUCCAUCCGCAGCGCUCCACUCGGUGCCGCCCGGCAGUCACACACAUGGUAGUUUUUGCAAGAUCACGGCCUUGUUUUAGUAUAACACAAUCAAGAUAAUUUUUACAAGGUCAGAAAGUUGGAAUAAGAGGAAACAAAAUCCAGGCCGGUUGGGUCUGGAAUCAAUUAGGCCUAUGUGCUUCUCAGAUGCUGCCGCUUGUCUCGCCAUCAGGGAGUUUUCCAAUGCAUAAAUACUAUCGGCGCGUACCUAGAAACACACAACCUCUAUAUUUCUCCACUCGCUUACACCCACCUGAGCCGGGAUGUCGGGAGGAGAUGGAGAGGUGUUCAGCUGUGUGCAGUCACUCCAAGCUCUCAGGUGCCGUGCUCCAGAGCCCGCUGUCCCACCAUGCCCUCGUGGGCUCGGCCUGCCUGUGGGCGCAGCGCUCCCCAGGGCGCUCCCCAGGCCAAUGCCGCUUCACCUGCUGUCAACUCUGAGCACCUCCUCGAGUUUAAAGAUGCAGGCCAACGAGGCCACUUCAUGUCUGUAAGAUGAAACUGUGCUGCUCUCAGCUUUAUAGUUAGCAACAAACCGUCCAUGGAAAGCUUUCACGGAAGGUGACUUGAUGGGAAAUUACCAUUUUCUCCACAUUUUUCCCCUCUAUGAGAGGCCACUCUGGCUCACAGUGAGCAAAGUCAGUGUCAGUACAGAGCAUGUGCGGGGGGGUACGAUCCUGACAGUUUUUGGUACAUUCACAAGCAAAGCGUUGGACGAUUAACACCUUUACUCAUUAAAAUAUUUACAGACAUAGAAUUGGGCUGUCCAGCCACCUCAGGACCACAACAUUUAACUUCGCUGCUUCUGUUCCCACGCGAAGCCGAACUGCUGCCGGAGAUGGGCACCACGAAGCCCCGCACCUGGCCCGCUGCCGCCCGCGGUGCCGCCGGGAGGCGCCAUUUUGCGGCUGCUGGACGCGUGCCGAGGGGGCGGUGGGCAGCGCCGGGCCGAGCAGGUGGGCGCGGCGGGGCUCCCCGGAAGACUGCCCGGAGAGGAGGAGAAAGCCGGCCCGCUGCGGGGGUACCGGCGUCAGGUGCCUCGCACCGCCUCAGCGCCUGCCAGAGCCGCCGCCGAAUCAACGACCGCCUCCACGCGGCGCGGGGGGAGCAGAAGCGGCCCCGCCUCGCCGCCCCCAACGGCCGCUCCGUGCGCGACGUCACCCCGCGGCCGGGCUUCCCCCCGCCGCGCUGAUUGGGCGCGGCCGCCGGCCAAUGGGAGCGCCGCCCCCUCACGGCCGGCGUGGGCGAGGCCUCCCGCGGAGGGCCCGGUCUGCGUGGGGCCGCCCGUGCGGGAGGCGCGUCGUCGCCUCCCGCUGCCCCGUUUAACUCGAGCUCCCCGUAGACGUAUUUAUUUCUCUUUAAUAGGUGUUUAUGAUACGCGAGGCCGGACCUGUUCCUAAUCAAUUUGAGGUAAAUCAAAAUAAUGCGCAUUUAUACCGGCCCAGGCGUGCCGGCUCGGCGGGCCGCGCCUCCCUCCUGUGGACGGAGCGCCGGCGCUCGGCGGCAGGGCACGGCUGCCCCGCGGGGCACCUCGGAGCGGCGCUGUCGGGCCUCAGGGAGGGAA